rnacentral:rRNA from 1 species
CUGAUGAGUUGCGAACGGGUGAGUAACGCGUAGGUAACCUGCCUCAUAGCGGGGGAUAACUAUUGGAAACGAUAGCUAAUACCGCAUAAGAGUGAUUAACACAUGUUAGUUAUUUAAAAGGAGCAAUUGCUUCACUGUGAGAUGGACCUGCGUUGUAUUAGCUAGUUGGUGAGGUAAAGGCUCACCAAGGCGACGAUACAUAGCCGACCUGAGAGGGUGAUCGGCCACACUGGGACUGAGACACGGCCCAGACUCCUACGGGAGGCAGCAGUAGGGAAUCUUCGGCAAUGGACGGAAGUCUGACCGAGCAACGCCGCGUGAGUGAAGAAGGUUUUCGGAUCGUAAAGCUCUGUUGUUAGAGAAGAACGUUGGUAGGAGUGGAAAAUCUACCAAGUGACGGUAACUAACCAGAAAGGGACGGCUAACUACGUGCCAGCAGCCGCGGUAAUACGUAGGUCCCGAGCGUUGUCCGGAUUUAUUGGGCGUAAAGCGAGCGCAGGCGGUUCUUUAAGUCUGAAGUUAAAGGCAGUGGCUUAACCAUUGUACGCUUUGGAAACUGGAGGACUUGAGUGCAGAAGGGGAGAGUGGAAUUCCAUGUGUAGCGGUGAAAUGCGUAGAUAUAUGGAGGAACACCGGUGGCGAAAGCGGCUCUCUGGUCUGUAACUGACGCUGAGGCUCGAAAGCGUGGGGAGCAAACAGGAUUAGAUACCCUGGUAGUCCACGCCGUAAACGAUGAGUGCUAGGUGUUAGGCCCUUUCCGGGGCUUAGUGCCGCAGCUAACGCAUUAAGCACUCCGCCUGGGGAGUACGACCGCAAGUUG